AACGAACGCUGGCGGCAUGCCUAACACAUGCAAGUCGAACGAGACCUUCGGGUCUAGUGGCGCACGGGUGCGUAACGCGUGGGAAUCUGCCCUUGGGUCUGGAAUAACAGUUAGAAAUGACUGCUAAUACCGGAUGAUGACUUCGGUCCAAAGAUUUAUCGCCCAGGGAUGAGCCCGCGUCGGAUUAGCUAGUUGGUGAGGUAAAAGCUCACCAAGGCGACGAUCCGUAGCUGGUCUGAGAGGAUGAUCAGCCACACUGGGACUGAGACACGGCCCAGACUCCUACGGGAGGCAGCAGUGGGGAAUAUUGGACAAUGGGCGAAAGCCUGAUCCAGCAAUGCCGCGUGAGUGAUGAAGGCCUUAGGGUUGUAAAGCUCUUUUACCCGGGAUGAUAAUGACAGUACCGGGAGAAUAAGCCCCGGCUAACUCCGUGCCAGCCGCCGCGGUAACAC
rnacentral:rRNA from 1 species